rnacentral:ncRNA from 1 species
AAUAGCGUAUAUUAAAAUUGUUGCGUCUAAAAAGCUCGUAGUUUGAAUACUUGCCUUGGCUUACACUGGGUCCUAAUGGUCCACCGUUUGUUGAGCGCAAAUAUCGAUGACUGUUUUUGCCGACUUCGUUGUUGGGCUUAUAAGAGUUAUCAAAUAUCACUUUGAUUAAAUUAGAGUGCUUAAAGCAAGUGUAUUACUUGGAUAUAAAUGCAUG